GACGAACGCUGGCGGCGUGCUUAACACAUGCAAGUCGAACGGAAAGGCCCUGCUUUUGUGGGGUGCUCGAGUGGCGAACGGGUGAGUAACACGUGAGUAACCUGCCCUUGACUUUGGGAUAACUUCAGGAAACUGGGGCUAAUACCGGAUAGGAGCUCCUGCUGCAUGGUGGGGGGUGGAAAGUUUCGGCGGUUGGGGAUGGACUCGCGGUUUAGCAGCUUGUUGGUGGGGUAGUGGCUUACCAAGGCUUGGACGGGUAGCCGGCCUGAGAGGGUGACCGGCCACAUGGGGCCUGAGAUACGGCCCAGACUCCUACGGGAGGCAGGAGUGGGGAAUAUUGCACAAUGGGCGGAAGCCUGAGGCAGCAACGCCGCGUGCGGGAUGACGGCCUUCGGGUUGUAAACCGCUUUCGCCUGUGACGAAGCGUGAGUGACGGUAAUGGGUAAAGAAGCACCGGCUAACUACGU
rnacentral:rRNA from 1 species